AGCAUCAUAACUUCCUCUAGGAAUUUACAAUGUAUGUAAGGAGACAAAAUAACACACACAAAAUAACUAAAGAGAAGUAAAGGAACAGGAGGCAGGACUAACUUGCAGCUCCCACUCUGCGGAACAGCAUGAGGAGAUUCACAUUGUGAACUUUUGCUCCAAGAACCACCACAGGAACAUACAAGGAAAGCCAACAGAAUCCACAGACCCUUUGAAGGAAAUGAAUUGCUGCUUCAGGGCCCCCAGAAGACAGCCAAAAAACUAUAUCUGACUAAAUACAGGCCCUAGUAGACAGAAAAUUCAACAGGAAUAUACAAGAUGACUAGAUGGACUACUUUGAGAAGAAAAUAAAAACGCUGCAAAAGGAGGUGAAAUGUUGCUGAAGACCAACUUUCUCUUGCCUUGGUCUAGCCAAAAAACACCAUCACCAAGACCUAAGAAAAGGGAAAACAAAACAAAACACUAAAACAAAAGGCCUUUAAUAAACUUUCUUGGACCUUUCUCCUACCAAGCAAAUUUUAACCAAAAACUCUUUCUUUAAAAAAAGAAAAAGAAAAGAAAAAAGAAGAAGAAAGCAAGAAGUUUCUUCUGAAACUGUUGAUUUAACAUCAAAGUCUUUUUAAAAACCUCAAUCCUCCAAGAAUGGAGAGUGCUCACCUGUGACCUUCUGCCUGGAUUUCUUUGCUGAAUCUACUGCCAAGUACAGCGUGGAGCUCAAAUAGAAACCUGAGUCCCUACUCUUCUCUCACUUGAUAAGAGAAGAAACAAAAGUGGCUUUUACCUCUAAUUCGCUCAGAAAACAAUUUUUUGAAUACCUUUUUUACAGGAAACUCCAGGAGACAAAUGGUCCUUGUACUUCUCUAUGCUGGGUAGAAACUACAUACAUUUUGUCAAUCUUAUUUUCAGAUAAAAAUGAACAGCCUCUGGCCAAGCAAAACAAAAACUGGAGAAGCAAAGAAUAAAACACAGCUCAAUUUCUAAAAGGUUCCUUAACCUAAGAAUACUACUUAAUACCAGCAGGAUCCCUCAGAAAAUUGCCAUCAGACACAUUCAACUCCCCAAGUGCAAUAAUAGGAAAAUUGUGACACUUCAGCUUGAUGGCUAUAAAGCCCUGCAGUUCAUUCUUCUGCGAGGGGAAAUAGUCUCCAAUUAACUCCGACCCAACCAUUGGAACUUAUAUUCAGAGGCAGCCUUAUUUUUCCACAAAAAUGCCUGCAUAUAUAUGAUCUCGAGUUGACUGGGUAAAUAUCUGAAGAGCUUACAGACAGCUUCCAUUAAUUCGAAGGUUCUCACAGCAUUCUUUGAGGACUCAAGAGUAAAUUCUAUCUGAGCACAGCAUGUGAUUUCUUUGGCUUCUUUUCCAAGCCUAUUCCUUCUAUGUACUUUGUAAUCCAUCCUUUUAAUUUUUUGAUAUAAAUGCCUUACAGUUUAGUAUGACUUAGUUCCAAACACAUUUAUUUGUCUUAGACCCUGGGUUACAAAGAUGCAGUGUACAGAGAGUCCCAGCUCCAUGGAAUUACUGUCUAAUUUUAAUAAUUUGAUCACUGUUAAGAUAGUUGUAGAAACUGUUACAGCAGCAAAGAAGAUGUGUAUUUUGUCCAACUUGGGGCUUCAGAAAGAUGUCUGAG
rnacentral:lncRNA from 1 species